rnacentral:misc_RNA from 1 species
UCCGGUUUGUCACCGGCAGUCUCCUAUGAGUCCCCAACUGAAUGCUGGCAACAUAGGACAGGGGUUGCGCUCGUUGCGGGACUUAAGGCAACACCUCACGGCACGAGCUGACGACAGCCGUGCAGCACCUGUGUUCAGGCUCCCUUUCGGGCACUCCCCCGUUUCUGGAGGAUUCCUGACAUGUCAAGGGUAGGUAAGGUUUUUCGCGUUGCAUCGAAUUGAACCACAUGCUCCACCGCUUGUGCGGGCCCCCGUCAAUUCCUUUGAGUUUCAGCCUUGCGGCCGUACUCCCCAGGCGGGACACUUACUGCGUUAGCGACGGCACCGGGAGGGUCGCUCCCCCCGACGCCUAGUGUCCAUCGUUUACGGCGUGGACUAC